rnacentral:rRNA from 1 species
AGUUUGAUCCUGGCUCAGAUUGAACGCUGGCGGCAUGCCUUACACAUGCAAGUCGAACGGUAACGGGCCUUCGGGUGCCGACGAGUGGCGAACGGGUGAGUAAUGCAUCGGAACGUACCUUCAGUGGGGGAUAACGUAGCGAAAGUUACGCUAAUACCGCAUAUUCUGUGAGCAGGAAAGCAGGGGAUCGCAAGACCUUGCGCUGAUUGAGCGGCCGAUGUCAGAUUAGCUAGUUGGUGAGGUAAAGGCUCACCAAGGCGACGAUCUGUAGCGGGUCUGAGAGGAUGAUCCGCCACACUGGAACUGAGACACGGUCCAGACUCCUACGGGAGGCAGCAGUGGGGAAUUUUGGACAAUGGGGGCAACCCUGAUCCAGCCAUGCCGCGUGAGUGAAGAAGGCCUUCGGGUUGUAAAGCUCUUUCGGCCGGGAAGAAAUCGUAUGGGCUAAUACCCUGUGCGGAUGACGGUACCGGCAUAAGAAGCACCGGCUAACUACGUG